UCUUUAUAAUCUUUCUUCCAGAUGAACUGGGAGCCCUGGUUUAUUUGGCAGGACUCAAAUGACAGAACAAUGUCACCUGACUUUGCAUCCACCUCACAGGACACUUCAUGGGAACCUUUAACACACAAAGAAAAUCAAUGCUGAGAUUCAUAAACUUGGACAUGCAUCAUGCGUUUUCUGCCUGUGAUGGGACGUUACCUUCUAGAGACUUGGCGGUUACGGGGUCAGAGGUCAUGGAGGCCAUGCCCACUCCUGCAGCAUUGACUGCACGCACUCUGAAUGUGUAGGUAGCGCCCACCUCCAGACCCGUUACCUAGGAAACAAGUUUGUCACAUGACGUGAGCUACUGUAUGAACCCACUGUACGUGUAUGGUGACAGUGAUGCCAGUAACAGGAACUGACAAUCAGUGCUGGAUUCCCACAACGUAAGACGUUGUAUGUAAAUAACAUUUCUGAAGGCGAUUUAUUUCAGAGUUAACGUUAAAAAAAUGCAAAAAUGUUUUGCAUUCAAUCCUGCUGUUCGUAAAAAAUAUAGUUUUGAUAGUGUGUGACUCAUUUAUAAGAAAGAGCUAUUUAGUUUAUUAAUAAAGUGUACUUUUACUUUUUGAGUUUUAGGUACAACUGAAACUUUUGUGUAAAAGUGCAGGACUAAAUAGGUUCAUGUGCUUUCCACUCAGCUUUGUCUGUAUUUACCCAGUAGUUGUUUACAUUAUCCUCUAGAUGGCAGUGUUGCACAGUUUGUUGUUCUGUGUAUGGAUGCGUCAGAGAGGCAAACAAAGGACCGCACAUGCAGGAUCAAGACCACAAUGUGUCUUAUUUUUAAAGAUAAUAUUUUACAUGUGCAGCCACAUACUGAAUUACAGUAACAUUUACAUAUGACCAUUUUUUAAUUUCAGCUUACGCCCUGUUCAUUUAUUGGUGAAUAUAUUUUCACAGUAAUCCAAUGCUUGAAUAUGGCCUGUUGUUCCAAG